rnacentral:tmRNA from 1 species
GGGGCUGACCCGGUUUCGACGUGGGUUACAAAGCAGAUGAGGGCAUGUCGAGGCCUAGUUACCUCGUAAAUCCACUAGAACAAGUAUAGUCGCAAACGACGAAACUUACGCUCUAGCUGCUUAAUCCAGCUGGACGCUGCACCGAAGGGUCUCUCGGUCGGGUGGGCAACCACAGCAGCGUCAUAAAGAGAGACUCGUUAUUGGUUGGGUCACUUAAUCAGUAAUUAAACUAAGGUGACUCGCGGCGAAAUUGCUUGCUCGUUGGUGAUUGAACCGUUAAAUAAAAAACAACAUAGCUAAACAUGUAGAACUUUCUGUAGAGUGCUUACGGACGGGGGUUCGAUUCCCCCCAGCUCCACCA